CAUCACUACGCUAGAUGCAUAUCAAUAAGCGGAGGAAAAGAAACUAACAAGGAUUCCCUUAGUAACGGCGAGUGAAGCGGGAAGAGCUCAAAUUUGAAAUCUUCAAGGGUUCUACCUUGACGAAUUGUAGUUUAUAAGAAGUGUUUUCUGUUAGUAGAGGUGGCUAAAAGUUCUUUGGAAUAGGACAUCAUAGAGGGUGAGAAUCCCGUAUUUGGUCAUUCUUUCUAGCUUUGUGAUACACUUUCAACGAGUCGGAUUGUUUGGGAAUGCAGUCCAAAAUGGGUGGUAAAUUUCAUCUAAAGCUAAAUAUUGGCGAGAGACCGAUAGCGAACAAGUACCGUGAGGGAAAGAUGAAAAGAACUUUGAAAAGAGAGUUAAACAGUACGUGAAAUUGUCAAAAGGGAAGCGUUUGACACCAGUGUUGUUUAGUUGAAAAUCAAUUCAAUAGUUUUUGAUUCUAAGUAGUAUUGACUUCAUCAGCUUGCUGCUUUCUUUUCAGGAAUUAUUGAAUGCACUUUCCAGUUAACAAGUCAACAUCAAUUUCUUUUGUUGUAAAAGGGUAAGAGGAAGGUGGCUUACGCUUCGGCGUAAGUGUUUAUAGCCUUUUACCUCUGCAAUCGGAGAGAUUGAGGACAACAGCGUAGACUCUUCGGGGUUAGAUACACUUGUGCUAAGCUAUAGCCUUGUAUAGACAACUUGUUGACUAUGCUCAGUCAUGUAGCUUACUCGCUUGUGCUAUUUUACCUACGCUUAGGAUGUUGACACACGCGCGUGCUCG
rnacentral:rRNA from 1 species